CAUCCAACUGUAAACUGUUCCGACUAGGUGUCAGGUAUGACUUAUUUGAAUAAAUAUCAGAAAUCUAAAAGGUGUGCGUCAUACCUGGCACCUAUAUGAACACUUUACAGUUGGCUUCAUGACUGUACAUCAUUCCCUUCAAAUACUAUUAAGCUUUAAAUAAUGGUAUAUUUUGGGUAUGGGCCCAUUCUGUAGUGAAAUUCAUAUCUAAUUUACAUGCGAUUUAAUAGUUUAUUUUAUUAAACAUAAUACACCAUCCAACGUGUACCCCACCUUGUGCCCAAUGCCCCCUGGGAUAGUCUUCAGGUUCCCCGUGACACUGAAGGAUAAGUGGUAUAGAACAUGUAUGGAUAUGAAAGCACAAACCAGAAGAAUUUGCUUUGCAGUGCCAUUACUUUCAGGAGACUAAAAUUUUUAUUUUUUUUUUUAAGCAUAUACAUCCUAAAUGACUUGAUCUUAUUAAUGCCAGUGUCAAUGCCAGGUGAAAUCCAUAAGCACAAACCUGGAGGAACCAACCUUUAUUUUGAGAUGCAAUAAUGCAUGUUAUAUAGCAACAGGUUAUUUUAACAUACAAGCCUAAAAUGUGUGCAAUAUGCACUGUUCAAUUCUAUAAAGUGACCGCUUUUAAUUCUCCAAAUAUGUAAAACACAUUUACUGUCAAUUUCAGUCAGGAAAUAAGGAUUUAGGUUAUAAGCUUUAUUUUAACACAAAUUUUUACAUUACAUGUAUAAAAAUUAGAGACCACCACACCUGCUCAAAAUAAACAGAUGUUUACAGAUACAAGCUAAGGGUCACUUACAAUUUUUAAAUGUACUCUAAACUCUUAAAGUUGUGUUAGUUUCUCCCAAAUAAAAAUAUUUAUUCAAAUUUAUAUUAAAGAGUAACACCACUGCAUUUGGCAGCAGUUUCUGAGCAACCCUAUACAUCAUGAGGCAUAUUGUAGAAGUGUAUUUGAAAACUGAUAUUCCUCAUAUUGCCCUUACAGACUCCACCCCCACUCCAAAUGUACAGGGCAGGGAUACUGCAGAAGCAGGAAUGCGAAACACUGCUCCGAAAAAAUUAACUGAAUAGAACACAGGCUACAAAAUAAUUUCAAAUGAACAGACAUUCAUUAACACUGAAAUUCCACUUUAUUCAACGGGUCAGGUCUUUAACAUGCAAACAUGGAAAACAUCAAGUCGGUCUUCCUUGAUCUUGCACAAAAUGAACAGCCUUCCCCAACAUUAACCUACACAACAGGUACACACAAAAUAAGUCACAUGUACAUCACCAAAACAGUUUAUUAUUAUUAUUUUUUUUUUUAAGUGGCAUGAAGUGAACAGUUGUAGCAGGCCUUCUUGUCAGGUUCUUUUCGACUGCACACACUAAAACCUGUGCCAGUCCUGCAUAUGCUAUCCCAAGGUUAAAAAAACAUCACGAAAACACACAGUUUAUCAUGAUGGUAUCAACUUGGGGUUUAGGCUUUAAGUGAACAAGGAGGAAUGCCUCACCUCAUUCCUCUUGCACCUACUGCACAGCACCUUUGAAGACAAAGAACAGUUAGAGGAAACCCAACAAAAUGUCCAGUAGGCUUCAGAAGAAUUAAUUAUGCUCAGUGGUAAAAAGUUUCUUCACUUCACAAUAAGAAUGAUGUGUUGAAUUUGGUUCAUCACAGCAUCACUUAGGUCUCAUCACAACAAAGGAAAAACUACUCACCAUGCUGAACCACAGCUCUUAAGACCAGGAAUGCCUUCUGCCUGCUACAAGAGUGCAAUUACAGUAAAAAUUUGCACUCCUUAAAUGACACCAAGCAGCUCAGCUUGUUCAACAGAUUAAUUUAGUUUAAAAUUUAAAUCCCCUUACCACUCAAUUCAGCAGGUCACGACCAUGUGUCUACGGAACUCGACAUAUCUGCAAGAGACGACUCGAUUAAGAUCACCUUUCAUUCCCAAACACAAACAUUCCAUUCCAUCAUGUUAAUGUUUGCCCACAGACUAGGGCGGCCCACAUGGGUUUAAGUGAGCAGCCCACUCUCAAGUGGACAAGACUCUACCACGGCCGUGCUACAAGACUGCUAAAACAGCAAGCCCUGAACACAGCCUAAACAGCAGUGCCUUUCUUUUCCAGCAGAGUAACACUAGCUCAGGCACAGUUCAGGCCUGCACAGCUGACUGCCGCUGGAGUAAAGGCAUAUUCAACCACUACAGGAAGGUCACUCAGCUUACCAGCAGUGCACUCGCACAGAGUGAUCUGGUGAUCCACAGGAUUCAGCCUGGAGAAGGGGUGGACAAAAGCACCAUCUGUGAACACAAAGUGAAACACGAUCAUUAAAAUAUUAGAUAUUAGAUCAAGGGCAUAACCAUGGUAUAGACAUUUUGGGGGGGGGGGGGGUGGGUCCAAUGAACUCAGUGGGAGGAUAUACAAGUGAUGUAACUUUAAUGGUCAAAAACUGGAACUGACAUUAGCCUAGCCUACUUCGUGGGUGUGCAAAUAUCAACAGUUAAUUGACGUUCUUAAGAAGAAACCAAGCCAUGGUAUGAUGCCUUCUAUACAAAGCUAAGGUUACCUACUACUUGGGUAUCUAGUUACUGUCUGGAAAAAAACCAAACACACCAAAAAAACCCCUCAUGUUCUGCUGCACUUUUCUACACUUUGCUGCCGUCUCCAUUUCUUACAGACUGAGCUGCUAAAAUACAUCAACGAACUUGCGUUGAGUAUGGGCACAACCAAGUGUACAACUGGAGGGGGGGGGGGGCACCGAUUUUCCUUAAACAAAUAUUAAAAAGGAAUAGACAAAUAAAUAGAACAGACGAAGAAAAGACAGACCCCUUGGCAGGGUUCAUUAAAUGGGGACAUACAGAAAAUAAUUUUGUACUGUAUAUGGGGGGGGGGGACUGGGCAUCACUUCCGGUAUCUGAAGGAAACGGUGAGCUGAUCAGUAACACAGACACGAACACGUGGUGCGAACAGAAAAACUCCUUAAGCACUAACUUAUCUAGUUUUACACACAUGUAAACGCAAUGAAAUGCACCCUACCAGCUUUCCAACACAUACACGACGCCAUUUAUUCACACAAUAAGUGACUUCUGUACUAUACAGAGCUUAAAGUGCGUCAACUACAGCGCUGUUACAAAGUUACACUUAAAGACAUACUGUAAAGAAUAAUAAUAUAAUAAUAAUAAUAAUAAUAAUAAUAAUAAUAACAACCUAAAGCAUCUCACCAUGGCACUUUUAAGGAAGAACAAGCCUUGAACAGUCACAGCAGCGCGCCUGUGGAGAGGAGUGUCAUGCAACAUCGCCAUGAAGAACAGAAAAGAAUGGGGAAUGUCGCG
ensembl:lncRNA